UUUACUUUUCUUCUUCUGAUUUUCUGUCUCCCUAAUUCAUGAGUUCUUCUCUCAUUCUCUACCCUAACGAUUUCAAUUGUAAAACAUAUUCUCCUCAUGUUCUUCUCUAUUCUCUAUCCUGAGUGAAAGAAUCGCCGAGGGAUGAUGUUCCAUAUGUUGAUGCGCGGUGGUGGAAAGCGACCCUUGAUUUUUUCCAUAACUAUAGGGUUCAGAGGAAGCGAAAUUGAAUGAACUAGCGGAAUCGAGGAAAGAAGGGCAAUUGAAAUCACUUACUGGACGCAUGGGGGAAGCUUCUUUCUUAGUCCUCGCAGAGACGGAUUGAAGGGGGGCUGGGCUGGGCUG